rnacentral:rRNA from 1 species
UGCAGUCGAACGCCCCGCAAGGGGAGUGGCGGACGGGUGAGUAACGCGUGGGAACGUGCCCUGAGGUUGGGAAUAACUGCGGGAAACUGCMGCUAAUACCCGAUAAGCCCCGUAAGGGGGAAAGAUUUAUCGCCUUAGGAGCGGCCCGCGUCGGAUUAGCUAGUUGGUGGGGUAACGGCCUACCAAGGCUUCGAUCCGUAGCUGGUCUGAGAGGACGAUCAGCCACACUGGGACUGAGACACGGCCCAGACUCCUACGGGAGGCAGCAGUGGGGAAUCUUGCGCAAUGGGGGCAACCCUGACGCAGCCAUGCCGCGUGAACGAUGAAGGCCUUAGGGUUGUAAAGUUCUUUUACCCGUGACGAUGAUGACGGUAACGGGAGAAUAAGCUCCGGCUAACUUCGUGCCAGCAGCCGCGGUAAUACGAAGGGGGCUAGCGUUGUUCGGAAUUACUGGGCGUAAAGCGCGCGUAGGUGGUUUGGUAAGCGAUAUGUGAAAUCCCCGGGCUUAACCUGGGAACUGCAUGUCGAACUGCCAGGCUAGAGUAUGGUAGAGGGGUGUGGAAUUUCCUGUGUAGCGGUGAAAUGCGUAGAUAUAGGAAGGAACAUCAGUGGCGAAGGCGACACCCUGGACCGAUACUGACACUGAGGCGCGAAAGCGUGGGUAGCGAACAGGAUUAGAUACCCUGGUAGUCCACGCCGUAAACGAUGUCAACUAGCCGUUGGGGGGCUUGUCCCUUCAGUGGCGGAGCUAACGCGAUAAGUUGACCGCCUGGGGAGUACGGCCGCAAGGUUAAAACUCAAAUGAAUUGACGGGGGCCCGCACAAGCGGUGGAGUAUGUGGUUUAAUUCGACGCAACGCGAAAACC